AAUAAAUCCCUCCGAGCAAAAGCGCCUAAAGCGAAUCCGCCAUGGCACUGCGCCUGCAAUAUUGCUUGCAAGAUUGCACAGGGUGGCAGGGGAAACCCGGCCGCCUUCCGCAUUGAAAAGGAGCAAGGGG
rnacentral:ncRNA from 1 species